rnacentral:rRNA from 1 species
AGGGUUUGAUUAUGGCUCAGGAUGAACGCUGGCGGCGUGCUUAACACAUGCAAGUCGAGCGAAGCAGUUAAGUUGAUUUCUUCGGAUUGAUUCUUAACUGACUGAGCGGCGGACGGGUGAGUAACGCGUGGGUGACCUGCCCCAUACCGGGGGAUAACAGCUGGAAACGGCUGCUAAUACCGCAUAAGCGCACAGAGCUGCAUGGCUCGGUGUGAAAAACUCCGGUGGUAUGGGAUGGGCCCGCGUCUGAUUAGGCAGUUGGCGGGGUAACGGCCCACCAAACCGACGAUCAGUAGCCGGCCUGAGAGGGCGACCGGCCACAUUGGGACUGAGACACGGCCCAA